UACGUAGGUGACCAGCGUUGUCCGGAAUUACUGGGCGUAAAGGGCGCGUAGGCGGUGUGUCAAGUCAGGCGUGAAAGCCCCGGGCUCAACCUGGGAACCGCGCUUGAGACUGGCACGCUCGAGUUCGGGAGAGGAUGGUGGAAUUCCCAGUGUAGAGGUGAAAUUCGUAGAUAUUGGGAAGAACACCGAUGGCGAAGGCAGCCAUCUGGACCGACACUGACGCUGAGGCGCGAAAGCGUGGGGAGCAAACAGG
rnacentral:rRNA from 1 species